rnacentral:sRNA from 1 species
CAACAUCGAAGCGGCGCACUCCUCCUCCCAGUGCCGCCCGAUAGGGCUGAUGACACCUCCUCCUCCCAGUCGUCAGCCAGGUUUAAGAGCCCGGCGCAUCCUCCUCCCGCGCCGGGCUUUUACG